rnacentral:rRNA from 1 species
UACGUAGGGCGCAAGCGUGUCCGGAAUUAUUGGGCGAAAGAGCUCGUAGGUGGCUUGUCACGUCGGGGUGUGAAAGCUUGGGGCUUAACUCCAGGUCUGCAUUCGAUACGGGCUGGCUAGAGGUAGGUAGGGGGAGAACGGAAUUCCUGGUGUAGCGGGUGAAAAUGCGUAGAUAUCAGGAGGAAUACCGGUGGCAAAAGCGACUCUCUGGGACGGCAAACUGACG